CGACCCCCCCCCUCCCGUCCCCGGGGCCCGGGCAGCGGCUUCCCGCCGCGGGGCCCGCGAGCGCCGUCGCUGCUGGGGGCCGCCCGGCCGGCCGCCCGCCUGGGAUGAGAGGCCGCCCCCUCUGCCGGCCGCGGAAGGGGGAGCGCCCGGCGGCCGCAGGCGCCCGAGGCCGGAGGGCAGCGCGGGCCCCCGGCCCGGCCAUGGGGCGCAAGAAGAAGACGUUGCACGACUACGCGGCCGAGUUCAGCGACCUGGGCGUCAAGCGGCACCUAAUCGAGCACGGCGGCGCCGGGGAGAGCUCGGUGGUGGAGACCCUCUACUGCAAGUCCUGCGAGCUGCCCAUGCGGGUGCGGCGGGACCGCAUCCUGGAGCACCUCUCCUCCGGCCGCCACUACCGCAACCGCCGGCUGGUCAAGCAGCACGGCCUCCGCACGCCCAUCCUCAUAUCUGCAGGUUCAGACCUUGGUACCAGCCUUUCCAUGCAACUUGACACUCCUUCCCUGCUUUCUCAGCCUUCAUUUAUUCUCUCAACCAACCCCUGCAUCACCAGCACUGGCACCAGCUAUACCAUGGUACCAUCUCCACCUUCCUACCACAAGUCCUUGAUCCCUGUUCACCCCAGCGCCAUCACCUCCACAACCAGUGUCAUGUCUGCCAGAGAAGACCAAACACCCUCUACCUCUACCAGUCACCCUUCGGCAUUCGCUGCUCUCCAUAUGAGAAAUGCGCCUGUUCCCUCAAAACAGAGCACCCAAAGACUUGUUAUUUCUGAGGCAUCCAACAGCGUGGCUUCUGGAGGGUCAGUGGGACGGUACAGCAGUAGUGGGACUUCAGGAAGCAAUAUUGGUCUUGCCCUCUUCGGCGUGGGGCUUGGUAACAAAGCAUUGUUUCAAAGUUUGAUGGAAGAAAAUGGCUGCUGUUUGCUUUACAUUGUGGAGGAUCAGCUGCCAGAUGUGGAACGUGCCUUCAAUACAGAAUUCCUGGCCAACACUAGGGUGCUACGGCAGCAGGAUGCCGACAUAGUGCUCAAUGAUCAACGUGUCUCUGGAGCCAUUGUCUGUUCACCACCUGAAGCAGCCUCUGAAAUUGUGAUAGAUGCUUUACGAGCAGGGAAAGGCGUGUUUUGCGAGAAGCUACCCAGUUUAGAUAGGCAGACAGCAGAGGCUUGUUUUGAUGAAGCUGACAGAUGUGGAAGACCAUUGGUCUGUGGAUUCUACAAGCGUUUUGAUCCAGCCCUGCAGUUCUUGUAUAAAAAAGUCCAUGAUGGCCAGGCACUGGGGAGGAUUCAUCGGAUUUCGACAGUUAGCAGCAUAUAUCCAGCAGCAUCUCUUAGCUUCCUAAAAAAGUCAGGUGGGAUUUUCUAUAAUGCUGCUGUACAUGAUAUUGAUAUUAUCAGUUUGUUGCUGGGAGAAAGUGCACCAGAUACAAUAUUUUCACUGGGACAUGCAUUCUGUGCAGAUAUGGCCUACUUGAAGGAUGCAGACACUGUAGCAGUCAGCAUGAAAUUUCCUAGUGGAGCAAUUGUUACUUUGGACGUCAGUCACCACUGUACUAAAAGCUGUGAUCAGAGACUAGAGGUUCAUGGUUCUCAAGGAACAUUACGGGUAGAUAAUCAGAAUCCCUUGGGAAUUACAGAACAUGGAACAUCUGUGUCCAUAUAUUCACAAACCCAGGCUGAUCGGUACAAAGAAGCAUACAGAGAACUCUUUAGACACUUUCUCAGAACCCUCAAAGGCAAAGAACCCCCUAUUAUCACCAAAGAGCAGUUUCUCUGGACGAUUCAGGUAGCUGCAGCUGCCGAGCAGUCUUGGAGGAAUGGAUCUGCUGUUGACUUACGCAACGAAGCAAUAGACGUGUCUCUAAUCAAGACUGAAAUCAUGUGA
rnacentral:lncRNA from 1 species